GACGAACGCUGGCGGCGUGCUUAACACAUGCAAGUCGAGCGGAAAGGCCCUUCGGGGUACUCGAGCGGCGAACGGGUGAGUAACACGUGAGCAACCUGCCCUGGACUUUGGGAUAACCCUCGGAAACGGGGGCUAAUACCGGAUACGACCUUGGACCGCAUGGUUUGGGGUGGGAAAGUUUUUCGGUUCUGGGAGUGGGCUCGCGGACUAUCAGCUUGUUGGUGGGGUGAUGGCCUACCAAGGCGACGACGGUUAGCCGGCCNGAGAGGGCGGACCGGCCACACUGGGACGUGAGACACGGCCCACGACUCCUACGGGAGGGCAGCAGUGGGGAAGUAUUGCACAAUGGGCGGGAAGCCU
rnacentral:rRNA from 1 species